UAUUUUAAAGAGAGUUUGAUCCUGGCUCAGGACGAACGCUGGCGGCGUGCCUAAUACAUGCAAGUCGAACGAACGGAGGAAGAGCUUGCUCUUCCAAAGUUAGUGGCGGACGGGUGAGUAACACGUGGGCAACCUGCCUGUAAGUUGGGGAUAACUCCGGGAAACCGGGGCUAAUACCGAAUGAUAGAAUGUGGCGCAUGCCACGCUUUUGAAAGAUGGUUUCGGCUAUCGCUUACAGAUGGGCCCGCGGUGCAUUAGCUAGUUGGUAGGGUAAUGGCCUACCAAGGCAACGAUGCAUAGCCGACCUGAGAGGGUGAUCGGCCACACUGG
rnacentral:rRNA from 1 species